rnacentral:miRNA from 1 species
AUACAUGUCACGUUAAAUCUGUUAGGUUCUGUUGAAAUUUUCAUAAAUUUAAUAAAAUUCCAACAGAACCUAACGGAUUUGACGUGACAUGUAU